CUUAAGAAAAUUUUUAUAAAAAUAAAAAAGAAGCUUAAAAAUUUUACUUUUAAAAAUAAAAAUAAAAAUAUCUUUGGUUGGGGCAACCACGAAGAAAAAAAAACCUUCGUUCAAAAUAAAAAAUUUGACCAAUUUAAAACUUUAAUAAAAAAAAAAGAUCCAGAAAAUACUGAUCAAAGAAAAAAGUUACCGCAGGGAUAACAGCGUUAUUCUCUUUAAGAGCUCGUAUUGACAAGAGAGUUUGCGACCUCGAUGUUGGACCGGGGCACCCAAGAGGUGUAGCAGCCUCUAAAGGUAGGUUGUUCGACCUUUAAAGCCCUACGCGAUCUGAGUUCAAACCGAC
rnacentral:rRNA from 1 species